UGUGUAGGCGGCGUGAAAAGUCAGAUGUGAAAUCCGGGGGCUCAACCUUCGAAAUGCAUCCGAUACUGUCAUGCUGGAGGUCUGUAGAGGAGUCUGGAAUUCUCGGUGUAGCAGUGAAAUGCGUGGAUAUCGAGAGGAACACUUAUAGCGAAAGCAAGACUCUGGGCAGAAUCUGAGCUCAAACACGAAGCCAGGGUAGCGAACG
rnacentral:rRNA from 1 species